UUCCCCUUCGCCUUGGCUAGCAUUCACGCGUAGCUUCCUACCGGUCAGUCAGAAUCAUAUCGCCGCAGAUCUCUCAUCAUUCCCCUCCUCCUCUUCCUCUUCUUGCUCCUUCCUCACCUGUCGCCGUUGCCAGAUGGAGCCGCCUUUGCUGCUCAGGAUUCUUCUGCCGCUGGCUUCUCUUUCUUGGCUGCUGCUGCUGCUGCUCGCCCGCGGUAGUGCAGCGACUGGAGUUAUAGGAGGAAUCGGUGCCCACGAGGACGAGUGGAGCAGGCAGCCUGCUGCUGCUCAUCUCAUUCUUGGAGACUCCAGAAAUGCGCAGGCUAGAAGAUUGCUGCAGAGUGGUAAAAACGAGCAUCCCCAACCACCUACACACGCUCCUCCUCCUAAUCCUAAUCCUAAUCAGAAGAAGCCAAAGACAAAUGAACGCCCGCACAGACCAAAACAUCAUCGACAUAAAAUGCAUGCUCCAUCACCCUCGCCUUUUAGUUCUGCACCUAAAGCCUUGCCAUCACCAUCUGCUUCUGCACCUGCAAUAUCUUCUUCAGGAUCUCUUCAUCCAUUGGCAGCCCCUCCCCGACUGCUUAUUAGCUCUUCACCUUCCAUCUCUCCACCACAUAAACAUUCCUCGAGAAACUACAGUUUGGUCGCUGCAGGGAGUGCAGUGUUUGUUGUCAUGGCUGCAGCUUCUGUUAUGUACUGUCGAGUUAAGAAGGUGGGCACUGUGAGGCCAUGGGCCACAGGUUUAAGCGGGCAACUGCAACGGGCAUUCGUAACAGGUGUACCUGCGUUGAAACGAUCCGAGCUGGAAGCAGCCUGUGAGGACUUUAGCAACAUAGUUGGUUCUACUCCUAGCUGCAUGCUGUACAAGGGGACAUUAUCGAGUGGAGUUGAAAUAGCAGUUGUGUCAAGCUCAGUAACAUCCGUGAAGGAUUGGUCAAAAGAAUGUGAAUCCCACUACAGGAAGAAGAUCACAAGUUUAUCCAAAGUUAGCCACAAGAAUUUCAUGAAUCUACUCGGCUAUUGUGAGGAAGAUCAACCUUUUACCAGAGCAAUGGUUUUUGAAUAUGCUCCAAAUGGAACGCUUUUUGAGCAUCUCCAUGUUAGAGAAGCUGAUAAUCUGAACUGGGCGACACGACUGAGGAUAUCGAUGGGGAUAGCUUAGUGUCUGGAGCACAUGCACCAGCUGAAUCCACCUGUUGUGCCGAGGAACUUUGACUCAAGCACUAUAUACCUCACUGAUGACUUUGCUGCAAAGGUCUCAGACCUUGAUUUCUGGAGGGACACUGGCACCAAGGGAUCUGAUUCCAGUUCAAGCACUGACGAUGAGUUCUCCUCAGUUUCAGACAUAGAUGUCAUGGUGCAUCAGUAUGGCAUGCUAUUGCUGGAGAUACUAACCGGAAAAGUUGCCUACUCCGAAGAGGAAGACAGGGUUUCAUUGGAGCAGUUGGCAUCUCUCUACUUCGAUGGCAACAUGCCCCUUGCGGAGCUGAUUGACCCGAGCCUCGGUUCGUUCCCUCAAGAAGCCGCGCACGCAAUGUGCGAGGUUGCAAGGUCUUGUGUGGACCCGGACCCGAAGAAGAGACCACGGAUGGUACAGGUGGCUGCUAGGAUGAAGGAGAUCACCGCGCUGGGGCCUGAGGGAGCGACUCCAAAGGUGUCGCCGCUCUGGUGGGCGGAGCUGGAGAUCAUGUCUUCUGAAGCUAGCUAGCUGAUCAUGGUGAAAUAAACCACCGUCUGAACGUAGUGAUUCAUCCUCAGUCUCCUCCCGCUGUGAUUGGCAAUUCUUUGGUUUGGUUUAUUGUGUUGUGGUUGCGGAGCCUGAAGCAGAGUUGCUUGUGGUAUUAGAGGUUUGCUUUUGCAUUUUCCUUGGUACCAUUGCGUAUGUGUAUAUGUACUGUAUAUAUCAUCAUAGCAGACUAACAGAGAAAGCAGCAAAAAGGGAAAAGGCUGUCUUCCAAUA